GCGUUUCCGUUCGUAGCACAACCCGCUCUGACCUCCUCGAUAACUCGCACUUAUCUCGGAUCACGCUCAAAUGAUUUUUCCUUCGUUUCUCCGGCCUCUGCUAAUGAUCGUCUUCGGUGAAAGAUACAUCGAACAAUGAAUCGUCCGUCUGCAUGGACGAGAAAGAAGGAAGGAAGGAAGGAAGGAAGGAAGGAAAGAAAGAAGGAAGGAAGGAAGGAAGGAAGGAAGGAAGGAAGGUAGAGUCCGGAGAAAAACGAGCGAGAUAUAUCGUCCUGCCGGCUGUUAAUAAGACGAGACAAUGCCCGGGACCCGUUGGCGGAUGCCAAGUGGAAAAUGUGGCUUGACCAGAGAACGAACAGAGGAUGAGGUGAAAGAAGAGGUGGAGAUGCAACGGCGUGCGGCACGAACCGACUAUAGGACGAUGGACUUCCUUCGCGACUAAGACGACGAUGACGACGAGGACGUGGACAUGGACGUGGACGACGAUGACGAUGACGACGAAGACGACGACGACGACAACGACAUCUCGCAUUCUGACGAGAUCAAAAGCCUACAAGCGAGCCAACAAAUACGGUUCGCCACUGCCGCGACUCAUAAACUAACGU